UGAACUAUGCUAGCAAUGUUAUAUGUUAUUAAUUUUACUAUUUAUAUGAAUCAUCAUAUGAUAUAAUAUCAUAUCAUGUACCAUAUAAAAAAACAAAUAUAUAAAGGGUUGGGAAUGCUCUGUUUUUUGUGGUUCAAAAGAAAGGGAAUUAUCUUAUUAUUGUGUAGCUAUUUGCUUUGUUCUUUUUUGCAUUUAUUAAUGAAAUUUGAACAUUGAGAGCAUUAAACUAUUAGAUAUUGCUCUGGCAUAGCCAUAAGUUAGAACUGCUCUCCAAUAGCUCUAUUCAUUUUAUUUAUCAUUUUAUUUGUUUAAAUGUAAGAUAAUAACCAUUACAUUUAUGGCAUAUUUGUUUAGAUGGACGAGUCAAAGAGAACUACAAUAUAAUAAACUGUUAGUUCUAGAAUGAAGCAAUUAACCCAUCAGAGAGGUUACACAGAUCAAAUAGAAGAUGCAAAUGCUGUCAUAUUUACUUUUGGGUCAUAUCGCUUGGGGUUGCCAUAAUGGCCCAACACUCACAGCCUCUUGAUGUCAAUGUAGAGGCACAGAAGGAGGCAGCCUCCCAUUCUAGUGUCGGUAAGACAUUAAAGUUAUUUAUAUUAAUGAGCUUUUUGUUGAGGAUUGAGUGAACUUAGCUCUAAAUUCUCUAGAGUGUUUUCCUUUUAUCUUCUUGUGGGUUGAUGGGUUUUUCCUUAUUUAUUGCUUUGGUUUUUGUUGAGGGUUGAGUGACAAUAGACCUAUAUUUUUGCUUUGGUUUUAUCUUAUCUGGAAACAAAGAGGGAAAAAAAGCACACCCACAUAUACAUUGAUAAAAUAUCAUCCCUAGGUAUAUAUAUAUUCUGUCACUGUAGUUGUUUUUGUGCGGGUUCAAAAGCACUUUUACAUUAUUGGAGGGUCAACCCCAUUUUGUCCCUUGUGACGAGUAAGUGAAAAAUUAAUAAUGGACUUGUUGGGAAUGUCUUUUCUUGUGAUACUUUUUGGCGGGCAAAUAUGAUAUGAGUGGUACAUUUGAGGCAUUUCUUUUGGCCCCAUCUAUUGUUGGAUUAGAAUUUUUGUCGAAAAAAUGUGAAUAAAAAGUUUUAAAUAAAGGUUAAGUUUAUGUAAAUAUUGUACAAAAUAUAAUGUAUUUGGACCUUUGUAAUAUAUAGGAAUAGCCGCCCUAUGCUGUAUAUGUGG